UACGGAGGGGGCAAGCGUUGUUCGGAUUUACUGGGCGUAAAGGGCGCGUAGGCGGAUGUUCGCGUCAGAGGUGAAAGCCCCGGGCUCAACCUGGGAACUGCCUUUGAAACGGGACAUCUUGAGUUCGGAAGAGGGUAGCGGAAUUCCCAGUGUAGAGGUGAAAUUCGUAGAUAUUGGGAAGAACACCAGUAGCGAAGGCGGCUACCUGGUCCGACACUGACGCUGAGGAGCGAAAGCAUGGGUAGCGAACAGGAUUAGAUACCCCUGUAGUCCCUGAGCGGGCU
rnacentral:rRNA from 1 species